rnacentral:rRNA from 1 species
UACGUAGGGGGCAAGCGUUGUCCGGAAUCAUUGGGCGUAAAGAGCGCGUAGGCGGUCCGGUAAGUCCGCUCUGAAAGUCCGGGGCUCAACCCCGGGAGGCGGGCGGAUACUGUCGGGCUAGAGUCCGGAAGAGGCGAGUGGAAUUCCUGGUGUAGCGGUGAAAUGCGCAGAUAUCAGGAAGAACACCCGUGGCGAAGGCGGCUCUCUGGGACGUGACUGACGCUGAGACGCGAAAGCGUGGGGAGCGAACAGG